GCUCUCAUAGCUUAAUAGGAAUAGCGUUCGCUGGGUCAGCGGAAGGUUGCGCGUUCGAAUCGCGCUGGGAGCA